rnacentral:lncRNA from 1 species
GGAGGGGACAGGUGAGUUACCAACCAGGUGAAGGGGGCAGGGUCUCAAGGGAGGAUGACACUUAGACAGGCCAAUGACCCCCAGGCCUGAGGAGCAUCCUUUGAAAUCGACGAAUCACACGACGCCUUGCUGGUAUGUUAGCCUGAUUGACAGGGCACACUCGGCGAGGGGGCAGGGAGAGAGGCAUAGGCACACCUGGGAAGGGACUCGGAAGUUUAAAACAGGACAUUGCAACACACCACAACAGAGGUGGAGGCCGGGCAUGAAGCCCAGGUGAGGAGAGAGGCCAGGGUGGCUGCCAGUGAGGCAACAAGGGCCACCAUGGUGAGACAGCGGGUGGAGGUGGCCCUGGGUCUGCUGGAGCGCUUGGUGGCCGCAUGUGACAAAGCCACCGCGUUCCCCUGGGAGCUGCGGCGCCUGCUCAGGGACAUCGAGACCACCAUGAAGGGGACAAAUGAGGCAUUCCCCAAAGUCCCUGAGGACUUGGUGGCUAAGGUGGCCGUGGCUGAGCGGCUGUGGGAGGACAAGGCCCACCUGGUCAAGGAUCACCUGGUAGGGACAGUUCGAGACAUCAUCAAGUUGUAUAUCGAUAGUGGUCCUGCCCACCUCAGUGCCCACCCCAGCCAUGGGGUGGCUGAGCAGUGCCAAAGAGCCAUUGAGGACAUCCCAAGGCUCCUUCAAUCCCCAGAGUGUCCCCAAGGUGUCCCCAAUGUCUCCCCAGUGAGCAUGGAGCUCCAAGAGCUGCUGGAGGCUCUGGUGUCUGUGGUGGCCACCCUGGGCGAUGUGACGGCCACCGUGACCGGGCCACACCGGGGCGUGCGGCGCUGUGUGCCCCCAAAGUUGCUGCACGCAGCCCUGAGGAUCUUCACCUGGAGCCUCCGUAAGGCCCUGGAACACCCCGGUGUCCCCUCCCUGGGCCAGGCCACCCCGGGGGCCACCUGGGCCGAUGUGAGAGCUGCGGGCAGCGCCUGGCGGGAGCUGGUGUCUGCAUGUGAGGAGAGAUGGAAACAGCUGGUCGAGGAGAUCACCAAGCUCCGUGAUGCCUGCGAGGACACGACCCUCGCCUGGGCUAGAUACCAGCAGGACAAGGCCACCCGCAGGGGGACAGCUGGGGACAACCUGGCAGCCACAGCCCAGCAGCUCAUGAUGGCCCUGGACAGGGAUGAGGAGGCCUCGGUGGGGGCUGCGCAUGGUGCCCAGGUGGUGGCGGCCAAGAAGACCAUGGGAGAGGCUGUGGUGGCCACCAGGCGGGUGAGGGCGGCCAUCAGGAGGAGACAUUGGGCAGAGGUGGCCCUGGAGCCACUGCAGCGCUUGGUGGAUGCGUGUGACAGAGCCACUGAGUUUAUCAGUUACAUGGAGUGCCAGCUCAGGGACAUCGAGGCUGCCCUGGAGGGGACAAAUGACGCAUCCCCUGAUGUGCCUGAGGCCUUGGUGGCUGCGGUGGCCAAGUCUGAGCAGGUGUGGGAGGCCAGCACUCGCCUGUUCAAGCAUCACCUGCUGGGGACACUUGGGAACAUCCACAACCUCCUCUUGAGUCCCUGUGAUGGCCGUGGUGGCUCAGAUGGCCCCGGCAGCCGCGUGGUGGCUGAGCAGUGCCAAAAAGCCAUCGAGGACAUCCGGAGGCUGCUGCAGAGACGGUGAUGUCACCACUGUGAUGUCAUAGCAGCAGUGACAUCAUUGGGGACAUGGCUGCUGUCACCUGUGCCCUCCCUGUGCUGUAUUUGAGGUAAGUCUGGGGAAUUUUCUAGGCAUUUUCAGUGAUACUGUCCCAAAUCUUGAUGGGAAUUCCUGGGGUGACGUCUCUGGGGACACUCAGGGACACUCGGGGGACAGUGAGGGAAAGGGGACAGGAGUAAGUGAGUCCCCUCAAGAGCUUCCAGCUUUCCACUCUGCAGCAGAGCCAGGUCAUAAAUUGCAAAUUUAUUAUUGGCUUCUGCAUUUCUGCAUUGCCUUUUGCACUUUUGUAUUGCCUUUUGCACUUUUGUAUUGCCUUUUACACAUUAUUACUGAUCACCAUCUGUUUGAUGCGGUAUUUGAUACUGAUAUUGAUUAUCGAUGAUUCCUUGCAGCUGCAGGUUGAUUCAGUAUAAUCUAUCAGUUCAUGUGUGCACCGUACAGCCUAUUAAUUAAUUAAUUAAUUAAUUAAUAUUCUUUAUAUAAAGCAGACUGGUCUGUUCUGAACUUUGUGUCAGACACAUCACUUGACCCCAUUGAGAGACGAGUGGUCAAUAAAUCCAUCCCAACGUUCCUUGAGGGGAGCA